GGGUGGUGGAAAGCCGUCUUAGGAUAUCAUUCUUAUGGCUAGUGACUAUAAACUAUAUAAAUUUUAAAGUUGACCAAUUUUAAAAAUGAAAUAAAUUAACAGUCUAUUUAUCUGAAAGGAAAUUACCUUUUAAAUUUCAUAAACGAAAAAUGCUUGGAUUCUAUAUGAUAUUAUUUACAGUUUAGGAUGAAUCAACUAAAAGCUUCUAAAAAAACUAACAGUUUCAAACUUGAGUUUCAAAGUCUCAACUUAAACCGUUAGGAAACCUGAGCUCAUUCAUUUGAAUUUUGGAGUUCAGAUUUAAUCUGGAAACCUCGUUUGAAUGUUUGGUCACAUGGUAGUAACCUUUGAUCAUAUUAAAAUUCUUUAGUUUGUCGUACAUAUUCUUGUUUAAUUGUUGCAUGGCAAAAUAAUUAAAUUUGAUUUAAACCGGAUCGAAGGUGUUACAGUAAUCCUUUAUUGUGGGUAAACGAGCACUCAUCUCGCAACUUCGACCGUUGAUGUGGGUGGGUGCUAGCUUUAGGUGUCAUGUUUGUAUCUAUUCAGUGUGCUAAAUCUGA
rnacentral:lncRNA from 1 species